rnacentral:lncRNA from 1 species
GUUUAUACAAAUAAAAACUAAAUUCUCUUCAGUCUAGUCAGUUGCAACAACAAUUAAAGCAGCAGGAAACAGCCAAGUACACAUGCAAGUGAUUGUUAUGAGGAUUGCAAAACUUUUAAAUAUCAGAAACUAAAGAAAGCAUUGAUAAUCAGCAGAUAUCAAAAAAGUGCAAAAGUACUGAUUAUACAACUCUUUUAAAGUUGAGGAAGAAUUUUAUGUUAAUGUUAAUGCAAAAGGUACGAAUAUUGACAGGUUAGCUAAUUUGAUGUUACAAUAAACAUGAAAUAAAGUUUGUGAAGACCUUAGAUCCAAAAAUACUUGCAUGCAUUAUUCAUGCAUGCUGUAUUAUAAUAUAGCAUGCAUGCAUGAUGCAUUCAAGUAUAAAAAAAAAAGUUACAAAUGUUUAAUUAUACAAAAAGAUUAUGGAUGUGGUACUGCAAGUAUAUUCAAUUGAUUAUGCAAUUAAACCAUCACCACUUCCACAGCCACCUUGUCUCAAGCAUUAAAUCGCAUUCUAAGAUAUCUUUAUUCAAAUUAAGUGUGACUACUUUACCAAAAGACUCUAGAAUG